GACGAACGCUGGCGGCGUGCUUAACACAUGCAAGUCGAACGCUGAAGCUCAGCUUUUGUUGGGUGGAUGAGUGGCGAACGGGUGAGUAACACGUGAGUAACCUGCCUCCUUCUUUGGGAUAACGCCCGGAAACGGGUGCUAAUGCUGGAUAUUCACUGGUCUUCGCAUGGGGGGUGGUGGAAAGGGUUUUUCUGGUGGGGGAUGGGCUCGCGGCCUAUCAGCUUGGUGGUGGGGUGAUGGCCUACCAAGGCUUUGACGGGUGGACGGCCUGAGCGGGUGAGCGGCCAUGGGGGGGCGAAGAGACGGCCAAGACUCCGGCGGGAGGCAGCGGGGAGGAAUAUACAACGAGGGGCACAAUGCUGCUGCGGCGACGCGGCGGGGGGGGUGGCGGCCGGGGUGUGGUGAACUUCUGCCGGUCAUGCUCGGCCCGCAACAGUGGUUGUGGUGAGGGUAGUGGGUAAAGAAGCGCCGGCUAACUACGUG
rnacentral:rRNA from 1 species